rnacentral:rRNA from 1 species
AUUGAACGCUGGCGGCAGGCUUAACACAUGCAAGUCGAACGAGUGGCGGACGGGUGAGUAAUGCUUGGGAAUCUAGCUUAUGGAGGGGGAUAACUACGGGAAACGGUAGCUAAUACCGCAUACCAUCAGAUGUACCCAUAUGGGAUUAUCUUGUAGGUGCGGUAACGGCUCACCUAGGAGACGAUCCCUAGCUGGUCUGAGGUGAUGAUGAGCAAAACUGGGACUGUGACACGGCCCAGACUCCUACGGGGGGCAGCAGUGGGGAAUAUUGCACAAUGGGCCCAAGCCUGAUGCAGCCAGGCCGCGUGGAUGAAGAAGGCCUUCGGUUUGUAAAGUACUUUCAGUCGGGAGGCGUUACCGACAGAAGAAGCACCGGCUAACUCCGUGCCAGCAGCCGCGGUAAUAC